rnacentral:rRNA from 1 species
AUUGAACGCUGGCGGCAUGCCUUACACAUGCAAGUCGAACGGUAACAGGUCUUCGGAUGCUGACGAGUGGCGAACGGGUGAGUAAUAUAUCGGAACGUGCCCAGUCGUGGGGGAUAACGCAGCGAAAGCUGUGCUAAUACCGCAUACGAUCUAUGGAUGAAAGCGGGGGAUCGCAAGACCUCGCGCGAUUGGAGCGGCCGAUAUCAGAUUAGGUAGUUGGUGGGGUAAAGGCCCACCAAGCCAACGAUCUGUAGCUGGUCUGAGAGGACGACCAGCCACACUGGAACUGAGACACGGUCCAGACUCCUACGGGAGGCAGCAGUGGGGAAUUUUGGACAAUGGGCGCAAGCCUGAUCCAGCAAUGCCGCGUGCAGGAUGAAGGCCUUCGGUUGUAAACUGCUUUGUACGGAACGAAACGGUGAGCUCUAAUAAAGACUUGCUAAUGACGGUACCGUAAGAAUAAGACACCGGCUAACUACGUGCC